UACGUAGGGUCCGAGCGUUGUCCGGAAUUAUUGGGCGUAAAGAGCUCGUAGGCGGUUUGUCGCGUCUGCCGUGAAAGUCCGGGGCUCAACUCCGGAUCUGCGGUGGGUACGGGCAGACUAGAGUGAUGUAGGGGAGACUGGAAUUCCUGGUGUAGCGGUGAAAUGCGCAGAUAUCAGGAGGAACGCCGAUGGCGAAGGCAGGUCUCUGGGCAUUAACUGACGCUGAGGAGCGAAAGCAUGGGGAGCGAACAGG
rnacentral:rRNA from 1 species